UCUAGGUCCUUGUCAAACAUGAAAGAAGGCUCUGUCUGAGAAAUUCAUUAACCAAAUUAGACAUAAAAUAAUGAGAGGAUGAGAAGAAGGCAGCCAGGAAUGGGGGUGGGUGGGGGGAAGCAUGGACAAGGAUAGCUAGAGACAGUUUUCUGCAAGGGUAGCUGAUUGAAACAAUGGUAUGGUACCUUGACUAAUGUAGAGCUAAUUAAAAUUGUAUAGGACAAAGCACUAUCAAACAUACUAUAGGGAACAAUCUUUCUAUGGUAAAUCCAUCCCCGAUGAAAUUCCAUUGACUUCAAUAGGUUUUCUUCUGGGAUGAAUUUGGCCUGAUAACCUAAUAAGUCUUUUCUGCCACUAAUUUAUAAGGUCCUUUUGUCAGAAGCAUAGCAAGAAACUUCAGUCUGGAUUUCAAAAGUGCUGAACACCCAAAACUCCUACAAAGGUCUCAGUGAAUCAGAGAGACCUGGACACCUGCUCCAGCAAACAUGGGGCCAUGACAGUGCCCAGAUAGGAUAGUCCAGGCAAUGCAAUGCACCAAGUUAUAAGCCAAGUGAAGUCCUGCCCACCUAUCUAUUACACCAAGAUGCUUUCACUGGAUCUACUGCUUCUCAUCUCUUUGAUGCUGCUGCUCCAACCCUUAUAUCAAAACAGGACCAAGAACUGGUCCUUGAAGACUGGCACUCAUAAUUCAUCACCCGAGGGGCUCCAGCUGUUCUUAUGUUUGCCGGUGCUGACUGACUCAAUUCAAGAUUGCCUACUUGUGUGCAUGGGGCAAAUGGCAACUUAAAAUUUACAAUUUCCUGACUUCCCACUGCCUCUUCUUGCAACAUCUAUGUUGUUACAACAUCUGAUAUAAAACCAGAACGAUAUAUAAGUAUGAAAAUGAUUCCCUUAAAUGAACAAGGAGUAUAGCAGACAACGAAGAAAAGUACAGAGGAUUAAAUGUGCAUCAUAGAGGGAAUACAUUGUAUUAACUAAAUGCAAACAUAUUUUCUUGGGUUUUGUGUUUUGGAAUGAAAAUGAAUGGGACAGAUCAGCAGAACAGGGAUACCCCUGGUGAAACUUCACUUAAGUCAGUAGAGUUACACCAGGGAUACAUUUGGCUGAUUCUUUUGCUAACGGCUGUAUGAAAACUUUAAUAUAGAGUUUCUGCAUGUGUGAAGUGUAUGCCAAGACAAAUGCAACAUGCUAAAUGGAACCUCCUGAUUUAUUUAAAUUAAAAAUGCAUUACAAAAAAA